AUGCCAAAGCAGAAAAUCCAGAAGAUAUAAAAACAUAAAGAUGUUAAUAGAAACAAUCAAAUAUUCAUAUCACCUCACAAAAAAGAUCCUACUGCCACCUUCGCUGUCAAGGACCAAUUAGGAGGCACAUGUGAGCAUACAUACAAGUUAACAACUAGGUGUUAAUAAAUUCGUUACAAUGUUAAUCAGGUAACAACAUAUGGUCUUUAAUAGGCCAAAAUCAUCUUGUUUGUCAAUGUUUAUUGGUCAAUAAUUUUAAUUCAACAGCAUCACAUGACACAGGAGUUUUCGGAUUACCAAAUAUUUUUCCUAGGUUAUUUUACUUUUCUUAUUUAGUUGGAAUCCCAAUGAUAGUUAGAUUCUAUAUUAGCCCUAUAACCUUAAAAAAUGAUUCCUUUUCCUGCAAGGAUUAGGAUUAAUGCCUAGAAUUAGUAUAAAUAGGGUUGUCUAGCUUAUUUUUCAGACAUUUAUUAUGUUAUUUUUAAUCAUUAUACGUUUUAGAGGUUCUCUACAGACCCUAAACCUAUUUUUCUAGUUCCAACUUCAAUUUUCUUCUAGUUUUAGCCAAAGAUUCUGUUCUUUGCUGUUUUGAGUGGGUUUCUCUUCCCAUGCUAAUUCAAGUUUGUAUCAGACCAUAAAAGAUCCUAGAUUUUUUUAGGUUUUGAUCCUAAACCAUGGCUGGAUGUGCUAGAUGUUGUGGAUGAGGAAAUCAAGAUCACCGAGUAGAUAUGGCUGCACCGAGACAAGAAAUUGAAGAAUUGUCAUGGGAGCCCAAAUGGAGAAUUUGGAAGGCAACCACAACCCCUUGGACAUGUCAGAAGGUGAUCUUGAAGGUGAACAUGUUGAUGAGGUGGACAAAGACCCUUUUCAUGAUGCUGGAGUAAGAAGUAGAUUUGAAGAGUGUUUUAGCCCAUGACCUUGAUCUGAAUGGAGGAAUUAAGAUAGACGUUGCUGAUUUUUAUGAAAAGAUUCAUGUAGAGGGUUAUUUAGAUAGGGAAGCUAGCUUGAAUAAUUAUUUUGAAUGGAAAACUAUGGCUGAAGCUAGGAAAGUGUUGUUCGUUAAGCUUAAAUUGAAGGGCGCUGCACUUCAACAGUGGAAGAGAGUUGAAGAGCAGCACGCACAGCAAGGUAAGGCUAAAAUCGGCAGCACUUGGGAACAUAUGAAAGCAAAAUUGUGCAAGCAAUUUUUACCACCUGAUUAAACAAAGGAGUUGUAUGGGAAAUUUCAUUUAUUAAAACAAAGAAGCAUGUCUGCAGAGGAGUAUAUGACUGAAUUCAACAACCUUUCAAUUCACAUAGGGCUGAAUGAGGUAAUGAGCGACGUCGUGCUAUCUAGCUGGCUUGAAUCAAUCUAUUAGGGAUGAAAUGGGAGCGGUUCAAUUAUUUAGUCUUGAAGAUGCAUGGCAGCAUGCAUUGAUGGAUGAUAUGGUUACAUGUAAGAGUUCAUAUUGCUACAUUUAACCUAAGGGAGCUAAGGCUGUUAUUAAAUGUUGUCAUACAGUUGAAGUUUCGAAAGAACAAAGGAUGGCAAGUCUUGGUUGGACAUCCACAAGAGAUCAAGGAAAGAAUGUUUUCAACUGAAGGGUUUUUGUUUUUUUUUGUUUUUUUUAAAACCUAAGGGAACUGGCAUAGGAGCUUUUGGAAGAAUAAAUAUUUGUCCUUAGUGAUUUUACAUUUUUUUUUUUAAUUAAGUUUAGGAAUCAUAAUGCUAGUUAGAAUCUAUAUUAGCUAUAUAACUUUCAAUAAGGAUUCUUUUUCCUAUGAGGAUUAGGAUUUAGUCCUAGAACUAGAGUAAACAAGGUUGAUAGGUUAUUAUUCAGACAUUUUUAUAUUAUAAUCAAUCAUUAUACAUUUGAGAGGUUUUCUACAAACCAUGAACCUAUUUUUCUGGUUCCAACUUCAAUUUUCUUCUAGUUUUAGCCCUAAGUUUCUGUUCUUAGCUGUUUUGAGCAGAUUUCCAUUCACAAACUACGUCAAAUCAAAUGAUAUUCUACUUACAUGUGAAACUAAACAACGAUAAAUGUCAAAAUUCUACUUAUGACUUGGAGUUCUAUGCAUUGGUGAGAACCAUAUGACCAUUGGGAACAUUAUUUUGGCAUCUUGAGUUCAUAGUUUAUUAUAAUCAUCAAGCAUUAAAAUAAUUAAAUUCAAAGAAGAAGUUGAAUGACUGUCAUGUUAAAUGGAGUUCUUUUCUUGAUCAGUACAGUUUUACUUUGAAAUACAAGACUGGUGAAUCUAACAAAGUAGCUCCUGGGUUAAGUAGGCAGCCUUCUCUAUUAGCUGUAAUAAGUAUGCAAGUUGCGGGGUUCAAUGAACUCAAAACUAAGUAUGAAACAGACCCCUAUCUCAAACUGAUUUUGGAGAAAUUAAAAGGGCCAACAAGUUUGGAUCAGUUACCAUAUAGGUUGCAUUAAGGUCAUAUAUUCAAAGGCAAUCAAUUAUGUAUUCCAAAGGGAUCAUUGUGCGAACAAAUAAUGUUGGAGCUUCAUGGUAAUGGAUUAGGUGGUUCUUUUGGUAGAGGCAAGAUUUUGGCAAUGGUGAUAUAUUGUUAUUAUUGACCACAAGUGUAUAGAGAUGCAGUUACGUUGGUAAAAGAUGUUCUGGGUGUCAAUUCAGCAAAGGUACUAAAUAAAACAAUGGUUUGUAUACUCCUUUGCCAAUACCAAAAGCUACAUGGAUUCAUUUGAGCAUGGACUUUCUCUCGGGAGUUUCAAAGACAGCAAAGGGAUAUGAUUCUAUUUUUGUUAUGGUGAAUGAUUUUCAAAGCUGGCACACUUUAUUCCAUGUUUCAGAACCUCUGAUGGUACAUAUAUUGCUGAUUUAUUCUAUGGAGAAGUCAUGAGAUUACAUGGUGUACCUUCUUCAAUUGUUUCAGAUAGGGAUUUUAAGUUUAUGGGGCACUUUUGGAGGACUUUAUGGAGGAAAAUGGGGACUGAAUUGAAAUAUCCCAACACUUAUCAUCCUCAAAUAGAUGGCCAAACUGAAUCUAUUAAUAGAAGGUUGCGAAAUUUUCUGAGAUGUCUAGUUGGAAAUCACAUGAAGAGUUGGGAUUUGGUUAUUCCUCAAGCUGAAUUUGCUCAUAUCAAUUCAAUUAAUAGAUCAAUAAAGUAGACACCAUUCAAAGCAGCAUGUGGACUCAUGCCACAACACGUUCUUGAUUUGGUGUCAUUACCUCCAGAAGCUAGACUUAGGAAUGACAGUGUGGCUUUUUCGGAUGAAAUUAGAAGGGUUCAUGAAGAUGUAGGGAAAGCUUUAAAGGCUAGCAAUCAAUCCUAUGCCACUGCUGCAAAUGAACAUCACAAGAUCAAAGAGUUUGAAGAGGGAGAUUUGGUACUUGUACAUUUAAAGAUAGAAAGGCUUCCUACGGGAAAAUAUCAUAAACUCAAGUCAGGUAAGUUUGGGACAUGUAAAAUAUUAAAGAAAAAUAGUUCCAAUGUCUAUUUUAUAGUGCUGCCAUCUGAAUAACAGGUCAGUAAAAAAUUUAAUGUUUGUGAUCUGUUUCCAUUUGAGGGAUUUGAUGGAGAAGCAGCUCAAGUUGCAAAGAAAAUGGUUCAACCACCAUAGGUGCAACAAGAUGUUAUCGAAAAGAUUUUGGGCCAGGUAAAAUAUUAACGAAAAUUAGUUCCAAUGCCUAUUUUAUAGAGCUGCAGUCUGAAUUACGGCUCAGUCCAAUCCAUAAUGUUUGUAAUCUAUUUCCAUUUGAGGUAUUUGAUGGAGAAGCAGCUGAAGUUGUAGAGAAAAUGGUUUAACUACCAAAGGUGCAACAAGAUGUUAUAGAAAAGAUUUUUGGCCAUGUAAAACAUUAAAGAACAUUAAUUCCAGAGACUAUUUUAUAGAGCUACAGUCUGAAUUACAGAUCAGUCUGAUCUUUCACGUUUGUUAUCUAUUUCCAUUUGACGGAUUUGAUGAAGAAGCUACUGAAGUUGCUGAUCAAAUGGUUCAACUACAAAAAGUGCAACAAGAUGUUACUGAAAAGAUUUUGGGCCAUGUAUACUAUUAAAGAAAAUUAGUUCCAAUGCCUACGUUAUAGAGCUGCCUCCUGAUUUAUAGAUCAGUCCAAUCUUUAAUGGAUGUGAUCUAUUAACAUUUGAGGGAUUUGAUGGAGAAGCAACUGAAGUUGCAGAGCAAAUGUUUCAACUACCAAAGGUGCAACAAGAUGUUAUCAAAAAGAUUUUGGAUGUCAAAGAGGUCAAGUCAAGAUGAGGUAGACAGUGCAAGCAAUUUUUGGUAAAGUGGUUCAGUAAACCAGCUAGUGAGAGAACUUGGAUGGCUGAAGAAGGGUUGAAGAAGGCUGAACCUGAGUUACAUGAUGAAUCCGUGAAGGUUUUCUCGCCUGAGUCAAGUUUUCCAAUCCGAGGGGAUUGAUGCAGGGAUUUCUGGAUUAUUAAAAAA